AUAGAACGCUGGCGGCAGGCCUAACACACGCAAGUCGAACGAGUGGCGGCCGGGUGAGUAAUGUCUGGGAAACUGACUGAUGGAGGGGGAUACCUACUGGAAACGGUAGCUAAUACCGCAUACCAUCGGAUGUGCCCAGAUGGGAUUAGCUAGUAGUUGGGGUAACGGCUCACCUAGGCGACGAGCCCUAGCUGGGCUGAGAGGAUGACCAGCCCCACUGGAACUCAGACACGGUCCAUACUCCUUCGGUAGGCAGCAGUGGAGAAUCUUGCACAAUGGGCGCUAUCCUGAUGCAGCCAUGCCGCGUGUAUGAAGAAGGCCGUCGGGUUGUAAAGUACUUUCAGCGGGGAGGCGUUUCUCGCUUAAGUAGCACCGGCUAUCUCCGUGCCAGCAGCCGCGGUAAUUC
rnacentral:rRNA from 1 species